rnacentral:rRNA from 1 species
UACGUAGGGUGCAAGCGUUGUCCGGAAUUAUUGGGCGUAAAGAGCUCGUAGGCGGUCUGUCGCGUCGGAUGUGAAAAUCCAGGGCUCAACCCUGGACCUGCAUUCGAUACGGGCAGACUAGAGUUCGGUGGGGGAGACUGGAAUUCCUGGUGUAGCGGUGAAAUGCGCAGAUAUCAGGAGGAACACCGGUGGCGAAGGCGGGUCUCUGGGCCGAAACUGACGCUGAGGAGCGAAAGCGUGGGGAGCAAACAGG